rnacentral:rRNA from 1 species
UGGGGAAUAUUGCACAAUGGGCGCAAGCCUGAUGCAGCCAUGCCGCGUGUGUGAAGAAGGCCUUCGGGUUGUAAAGCACUUUCAGCGGGGAGGAAGGCGAUAAGGUUAAUAACCUUGUCGAUUGACGUUACCCGCAGAAGAAGCACCGGCUAACUCCGUGCCAGCAGCCGCGGUAAUACGGAGGGUGCAAGCGUUAAUCGGAAUUACUGGGCGUAAAGCGCACGCAGGCGGUUGAUUGAGUCAGAUGUGAAAUCCCCGGGCUUAACCCGGGAAUUGCAUCUGAUACUGGUCAGCUAGAGUCUUGUAGAGGGGGGUAGAAUUCCAUGUGUAGCGGUGAAAUGCGUAGAGAUGUGGAUGAAUACCGGUGGCGAAGGCGGCCCCCUGGACAAAGACUGACGCUCAGGUGCGAAAGCGUGGGGAGCAAACAGG